rnacentral:rRNA from 1 species
UGGCGGACGGGUGAGUAAUGUCUGGGAAACUGCCCGAUGGAGGGGGAUAACUACUGGAAACGGUAGCUAAUACCGCAUAACGUCGCAAGACCAAAGAGGGGGACCUUCGGGCCUCUUGCCAUCGGAUGUGCCCAGAUGGGAUUAGCUAGUAGGUGGGGUAACGGCUCACCUAGGCGACGAUCCCUAGCUGGUCCGAGAGGAUGACCAGCCACACUGGAACUGAGACACGGUCCAG